UUCAGAGGUCCCAAGCGUUGUUCGGAUUCACUGGGCGUAAAGGGUGCGUAGGUGGUCGGGUAAGUUUGAUGUGAAAUCUCCGGGCUCAACCCGGAAACUGCAUUGAAUACUAUUCGGCUAGAGGGUUGGAGGGGGGACUGGAAUACUUGGUGUAGCGGUGAAAUGCGUAGAUAUCAAGUGGAACACCAGUGGCGAAGGCGAGUCCCUGGACAACUCCUGACACUGAGGCACGAAAGCUAGGGGAGCAAACAGG
rnacentral:rRNA from 1 species